rnacentral:rRNA from 1 species
GCCUGCCCAGUGAGGGCACCACCCUUAAACGGACCGCAUAUAUAAACGCGCAAAGGUAGCAAAAUCAUUUGUCCUCCAAAUAAGGACCAGUAUGAAAGGCAACAUGAGAAAGAAACUGUCUCUUUAGGAAACCUAAUGAACCUGACCCGCCUGUAAAAAUGCAGGCAUGAAAAAACAAGACAAAAAGACCCUGUGAAACUUAAAAUGUACAUCAAAAAAUGAUCAAUACAUUUUUGGUUGGGGCAACCAAAGAGAAAUGUAAACCUCAACAUCUCUGCAAGACAAACAAGUCAACCAGAAGACACCAGACCCAGCACAGCUGAUCAAAGAACCAAGCUACUCCAGGGAUAACAGCGCCACAUUCUUGAAGAGUCCAUAUCAACAAGAAUACCUACGACCUCGAUGUUGGAUUAGGGUACCCCGAUGGCGCAAAAGCUAUCAAAGGUUCGUUUGUUCAACGAUUAAAACCCCACGUGAUCUGA